rnacentral:lncRNA from 1 species
AAUCAUUGGAUCAAAGAAACAAAAGUGUGAUGUUAUAAAACAUUAAGUAUGGUUUUGGUUUGUUUAUAAACAAAUUAAUGUUAUAAAACUUUAGUUUCUAUUACUUUUUUGUUUACCUGAAAACAUUCAAAAAAUAAAAAUAAAAAUUAGAAAAAAAAAACUUGGCGCUAUGCGAGAAGAACACCCAUUCUGAAACCUUAACGAUGUACCAAUCUUCCAAAGCUACAUGUUGUUCUCUUCAAUUUAUUAUUAACUUUCUAUGCUAUAACUUCC